ACAAGCACAUUACUGACGCUAAAGCUCGAAAGCGCGGGUAUCGAACAGGAUUAGAUACCCUGGUAGUCCGCGCGGUAAACGAUGGAUGCUCGUUGUUCGGCUGUUAUAGUUGAGCGACUAAGCGAAAGCAUUAAGCAUCCCACCUGGGGAGUACGCCGGCAACGGUGAAACUCAAAGGAAUUGACGGGGGCCCGCACAAGCGGAGGAACAUGUGGUUUAAUUCGAUGAUACGCGAGGAACCUUACCCGGGCUUGAACUGCACAGGAAGGAUACAGAGAUGUUGACGCCCUUCGGGGCCUGUGUGGAGGUGCUGCAUGGUUGUCGUCAGCUCGUGCCGUGAGGUGUCGGCUUAAGUGCCAUAACGAGCGCAACCCUUCUCUUCAGUUGCCAUCACGUUUUAGGUGGGCACUCUGGAGACACUGCCACCGUAAGGUGUGAGGAAGGUGGGGAUGACGUCAAAUCAGCACGGCCCUUACGUCCGGGGCUACACACGUGGACGGGCGGUGUGUACAGAAUGUCGGUACACGGCAACGUGGAUCAAAUCUAGAAAACGCGUCUCAGUUCGGAUUCGGGUCUGCAACCCGACGCCAGAAGCAGGAUU
rnacentral:rRNA from 1 species